rnacentral:rRNA from 1 species
UACGUAGGUGGCAAGCGUUGUCCGGAUUUACUGGGCGUAAAGAGCGCGCAGGCGGUCGUCCAAGUCGCGUGUGAAAGCCCCCGGCUCAACUGGGGAGGGUCAUUCGAUACUGAUCGACUCGAAGGCAGGAGAGGGAAGUGGAAUUCCCGGUGUAGUGGUGAAAUGCGUAGAUAUCGGGAGGAACACCAGUGGCGAAGGCGGCACUCUGGGCCGGAACUGACGCUGAGGAGCGAAAGCGUGGGGAGCAAACAGG